AGUUGUGUGUGUAUGUGAAAGAGAGCGCGCGCGCUCCGUUCCUCUCCCCCUUUCUCCUCGCGCUCUCUCUCUCGCACGCGCUUGCGGGUGAGGGUGCACGCGCAGGCGCGCCCCCGCCGCGGCUCUCCGGCUGGCCACCCUGCUCCAGCUCAGAGCAAGCCGAGGCUGCCCAGAGAAAGGGAGGCGCCUCUCGCCGGUGCUGAUGUUGCAGCGAGGAGCCGCUGCUCUCCUCCUACUCCUCGUCGUCCUUCUCCGCCCUCUUCGCCGCUCCAGCCUCCUCGGAGUGCUCUCGCCAGUCCCAAUCGCGGAGAUCCGACGCCGCCGUUGCUGCCGCCGCCUCUCCUCCUCCUUCCCGCCUGCCGUGGGGUUCGCCGAAAGCUGGGAUCUGCGAGACAUGGAGCUUGUUUGGAGCACUUUGCUCCGCGCCGGGGCCCUCUGAUCGCCGGGCGGCGGCAACAGCAGCAAUAGGAGCAACAGCAACGUGCUCGCGGGAUCCGACCGCGCUCGCUCUCUUUUUCAGUCCCAGAAAAGCCCCAAAGCCACGGGGGAUCCGGCUCGGUGGCUGGCGAGAGAGGAGGGGGGAGGGAAGGAAGGAAGCGAGAGAAAGGAGGGAGAGAAAGCGGGGCAAAGCCGAUCCCUGGUGUCCGGAGCAUCGGGAGAUGACUUGUCGCCAGGAUCCGGUCUAAGCAGCCCAGGAGGAGGCGGUCUUCUCCUUUCUCGCCCUCCGUGCUUGCCUCCUCGUUUCUGUGCCAGAUUUGGCCCCCGAUCCCAGAGGAGACGACCGGACUGGGCUGGCCUUGGAGAGCGCAGGGGGCGAUUGGCAAGCGGCUGGGUCGCCAAGGACCGCCCCAGGAAAGGAGAGCUUUGAGGGCGCGAUCUCGGCAAGCAACUUGGGGGGCGUGUGUGGCUUGAUUUCCUCUGGUGGAUAUUGUACUCCCCCUUUAGCCCUUUCCGGGACCCGUAAUUUUAUUUUUUAAAGGGCCGCCCUUUUUUUGGCAGCGGAUCCGAUUGAUGCUACUAGCGUGGGGGGUUCUUCGCUUAUCGAUCCGCACCUUCGGCGUCGCUUCGUCUUUGUUUGAAUCGCCAACCAGGCAACCUAAGGAACUCUCUCCCCGAUGGCCGGGAAACUGCAGAAGGGCUGGUUUGCGGGCUGGUGGACUACCGGAGUUUGCUUAACGGCGCUUUCCUACGUCCCAGGUGAGCGAUCGUCUGAACAAGACGCUCUCUUCUUUUUCGUGCCUCUCAUAAGAACGAUGGUUCUCCGGUGGAGCUACCUUGGAGCGUUUGGGUCUCUGUGUGUCUCGGGAUCUCUGUAUAGGAGACCGAGAAAGUUGAGCAGGGCAACUGGAGGAAAGGUUUGCCUCGGUCUGGAGCAGGUGAUGGUGGUGGCACGAGUAUGGCGAGAGGGUGGGCAGCUGUCCUGGUGGCAUGGGGAAAGAAAGGGGUAUUAAAGACGCUGGGCAUUGGAUGCCAGCGGGUGCCAGGCUGGCUCCUGCCAGCCAGUGCCUGUUUAUUUUUUAAAUAAAAACCCAGUCUUGGCCACCUGAGGUACUACCAGCUCCCUUCACCUGCUGGGUUUACAGGGCACGAGUGCUACCCUGGUUUUGCCAGAGCGCAGCAGUUGGGAAGGCUAGCUUGCUCCAGCAUUGUGCCCUCCAACGCCCUAGGUGUGAUCUCCUCCGGGUCCAAAGCGUCAGGUAGAGAACGCCGCUCUUCUUCCAUCGCCCACCCUUGACAGAAUACGUCUUGGUUCUGAUAGAUGCCCAGCCAGCAGGGUACAGAUGCCCUAAUAUACACCCUUUUCCUGCAACUCUCUCCUUUAUGCCUGACUCUUGGUAGGAAGCAGAAAAGGGGAAGGUGCUGUCUCUUGGUACGAUCUUGUCUUUUUUUCUUUUUAAUUUCCUGCGCCCAGCUGGGUAGCUGACCCAGCUUGCCCACUCUUCCCCAACUGAAAAGAGAAAAAAAAACCCUCCUCUUUGUGCUUUUGUUUGCUUUGCACGCAGUGGGUUAAUCCAGUUGUGGAUUGGGGUGGGGGGACACACACAUCCCGAGAAGACACAAGGUGGCUGUGCAGGAUGAUUCCUGGGGAGGCUGGAGACAGAGGCUUGGAGAAAAAACGGGAAGUCCAAGCUGUUGGGUGUCAGCGCCCUUAAUGGAAAACCGUCUUCCAGGAGGAAAUCCAAGUGUGGUUUUUGGGGGAGGUCUUGUUGGGAGGUUUAACUCUUUGGGCUGUGGAGGCAACUGGCUGCCCUGCAAGGAAGAUGUGCAAGUGUGUGUAUCACUGCCCCCAGGUCUGCCAUGCCCAGCUUGUCUUGCAGGGGUAGGAAGGGGCUAUGUGUGUGUGUGUGUGUGUGUGUGUGUGUGCUGCAGUGGGAGGGGUUGCCUUUUGGAGAGGGAGCACUGCAGCGGGCAAUAAAAGGGGAAAGAUGCUCUGGGAGGAUACAGCUGCUGCUGCUACCACUGAGUGUUCAGUUCCAGAAAUGUGCAGGGAAGUGAGUGCCCACAGUUUGCAAGGGGCCGGAGAACCCAGAGGGGUUUUCCUUCUGCAAGCAGCUGGGUCGCUGGAGGAAAGCUGUGGUGGGAGCCUGUUCCGAGUCCAUGUUCACUGCUGGCUUUUUGGUGCCCGCCGGAGUGGCAGUUGGCAAAGAGGUCUAUUGGCUUGGCUCUCUGUAGCGGUGUUGCUGCUGCUGGUACAGCAGGGGGCAGGCUGAACUGAGGCCUGAGGAUGGGCGGAAGCUACGGGGAGAGUAGGAAGUGGGAUCCAGAGUCUUCAAAGCACACAGCAGUUGGUAGUGACCCCAUCCUUUCUCACCUAGGGCCAGCAAGGUGGCAUAACAGUAUCUCAUAGGAGGCGAUCCCCAGGAACGAGCUGUGUUCAUGAUGGAAAGGGAGUCUUUGCCUUGGAACUCCUUCCAUAGAGGAUUUUAAGCUGCUAGUCCCUAGUGUUCCUUGCAUUGAAAGAGAGGCUGCUCUGAAAGCUGGUUUUCUUGUCCCAAUCCCAGAGUUGUGGCGGGAGAAGAGGAUUCGGAUCAUAAGUUUAAAAUCUGAAGAGGGAGGUACUGGGAAUAUGAUGGACCUCUAAAGUGGAUGUUAGUUUUCCAGAGGCAGGUGGAUGAUUUAGGUAGGGUUACUUUUUUAAAAAGUAUUUUGAACCUCAGGACUGGAGGCCAGCAGGUGAGACACUGGUGUUGUCAGAAUUUGCGUUGAGGGGAUCCCUUCUAACUCCAUGCUCCCCAAAACUUCAGCACAUUUUUUCUGUAAACUUUGGUGAAUGGAAUCAAAUCCAUGAAGUAAUCUUGAGUGGGCUCUUACUUUCCAAAUAUAUAUAUCUUUAUGUCUUGGUAGCUUAAUAAAAUACUUAACACAUGCACCCACGGUUUUGAAAUCUCUCUCUUUCUGUCUCUCUCCCCCCCCCCCCCAACUUCCUUGCCAAGGAAAAAGAAUCAAUAUUAUGCAAGCAUGCUUUCCGGGAAUAUUGUGUGUUUAAGAGUGGGGGUGUGGUGUGGGGAGUGUGUGAUGUUUGUGUUCCAAAAGCUUUUAACUGUUGCUUCCUAGGCUCAAGAAAUUCACUGAAAUCUGCCUACUCAAACACACGCAUUGGUUUAUCUAUACAGUAGCUGAAUGGGAUAUCUGGGACCAGAAUGCCACUUGGAAUUGAACUGCAUAUGUUAAAUUUGAAUAAAGUUCUCAGGGGUUUUCACACAGCUAUUUGCAGAAUCUUGAAGUGAAGAGGUUUCUGCUUGCAGAUAUGCAUUCCAAGAGUUUGAUGGGAGCAAAGUAUUACAAUGCAUCUAUCCCAUAUUUAGUCAUGGAUGUCACUCUUCAAUUCUCUUCCCAGCACCCAAAUCUCCUGCUUCUUCUUUCUUUUUUUUGCAUUUGGACAACACCAUCCACAUACAUGGUGCUGUAAGUUUUAUAUGAGGAAAAAGUCCUUGCCCCAGGGAGCCUACAGUGUAAAUGUUGAUAGGCGAGGGUGGGGAAGAAAGAAGAGAGAAGUGGGGAGAAGCAAAGCUAACAGAGUGACUGUGAGCAAGUGUAGUUACUUAGGUGAGCAAUUGUUUAUACCUAUGUAUUAGAAAGGUGUAGUUUGUAUUCUGAUAGUAAAAUAAAUCCCACUUCCUUAGGCUUUUGUUUCAGUUGUGGAUGAGGACAGAAGGUUUACUCCAAAGGCCUCAUGUGGCUGUGUUGCAGCAUCAUGCUAGUCCACAUUGUGCCACUUUGAGCAUUCAUUCAUUCUGGCAUGUGUCUCAGAGCACCGUAGAUGCUGAUGUCUGUGGCAGUUUAGCUCACAAGGGCAGUUAAGACCACAUCUGGUUUCAGGAGCAGAAUGAUAUAUUUCUAUGGCAUUUCCUGGUUAUGAUAUAGCAGGCUCAUCUAUUAGCUCCCUUCCUUGAUUCUGGGGUGCGGUGGGAGGAACCCCACUUGUAUUUCAAGAAAAGCUAGUGCUAGCAGCUGAGGAGAAAGAGACCUUUGCUUUGGAAACUUCCUGCAGCUGGGGUGUCCAGCAGUUAACAGUAGCAGGGAGGUGAUGCUUAUAUGCAUAUGAUGAAACUUGUGGUGUGGAAAUCUUGCACAUUAGGGAGUGGGGGGAAAGGGAGAAGAGAUUUAAGAGUGCAUGAUUAUUGUUUUCAGUUCUCUCCUAGGUCAAAAGCACGCGCUUUUAAUUCACCUUGCUCCCCACCCCCCCUUAUUUCCUGGCCUGAUGCCCUGGACAGAGUGAAUCUGCCUUCUCUUACCAGACGGGCUGCAAUGGAAUCAUCAGGCUGUCUUUAAGUGUUUUCUCCGCAGUAUCUUUCAUGUUGUUCAUAUGCAUCCCUUUAAUAUGGGGAUAUAGAUAUAUUACUCUCACUACUUAUUGGUUUUGCCUGCCGCUCCUUAUUACAAUAUUUGCUUUUUUCUCUUGUGCUAAUAAAGGGGAUCUAUAUAUAUAUAUGCCAUAAAAGUGAUGGAAGAUCCCCUUAAGAAAAAAAAGCAGUACUGUAUCCUGUUCCGUAAAUGUGCCUUUAGUGUGCUCGGCUCAAGUACCCAUUGCGGAUCUGCCUUCUGCAAUCUAUGAUGCAACCCGCGUACUUUCCCUUCCCUUGCAGAGUUUAUAGCAGGCUGUGGCACGUUUGGAUGACUCGAGACGCAGGUCUGACUAUUUAAUACUCUGAAACAUCCGGGAGUGGGGUGGGGGUGCAAGAUGACAAACCGCUCAGGGCUGCUGGGCGCGAUGCUCUUAAAAAGAAGCUUUU